rnacentral:lncRNA from 1 species
GAAAGUCACCCACAUCUCGGCGAAGUCGAAUGUAACCGGGCCAAGACUCUGCAGCCACUGCAUACCAAGGACCAAAUCAGCUCCUCGUAAUGCCAACGGGUAGAGAUCGAGCUUGAAUUGGCUGCCCUGGAUCGUCAAAGUGAUGCCUCGGCAUAUGCCCUCCGCCCUCAACGUGGUUCCAUCACCCAAUGCUACGUCGAAGCCCAAUGUCGGCUCUGCUAUGAGACCGAUCUGUUUGACGAGCCUCUCAUCCAAAAAAUUGUGGGUGCUGCCCGUAUCUAUGAGGAUACGCACCACACGUCUUUUGAUCAUGCCGUCCACGCGUAG